UGGGGUAAAAGAAAUUGUAAAUGCCAUUCUUGCAAUCAUUGUGACAUCUAUGAAAGAGUAUGAGAAAACGGAGGCUGGUUCUUUACAGAAAAAUUUAGGCUUCAGUUGUCAACUUGUCUAGAGCUUCCACUAAAACCUUGGCUGUUUCUCUUCAUCUUUCCCAUUUCCAUUUCUCGGGUAUUCUGGCCUUCACUGCUUGAGCCAGAUGGAUACAAACCAUAUUCACUGGUUGGUCCACUGUAUUCACUACUGGCGCCAUACUGUUGGCUUCCUAAUGCCAUCUUCCUGAAUUUUUUCAAAUCUUCAUUGUAUUGGCUGGUGUCAUAGUCUGAACUACCAUAGCUGUACACACUGCUUUGUCCAGGUCUCAUUCCUUCAUUAAGAUCAGAGAGAGCACCGUCUCCUUCAAGAGCUCGGACUACCUGACUCAUGCGUGGACGACGCCGUGCUGAAUGACGCACACAAGCAGCAGCACAAGCAACCAUGCAAGCCAUCUCAUUGUGGUCAUAACUACUUUGCAGUUUUGGAUCCGCCAGAGUAUCAAAGUUUCCAUCUUCUAGAGCCCGUGUGAGUAAAGGCCUCGCCCAGUCCACCAAACUGUCCUCCAUAAAAGACUGAGUCGAGUCAACAGGCCUACGUCCAGUAAUCAACUCCAGAAGCAUGACCCCAAAGGAGAACACAUCAGAUUUAUCUGUUAGCUUCCCACUUGAUGCAUAUUCAGGAGCCAGAUACCCAAAGGUUCCCAUCACCCUGGUGGAGACAUGUGUAUUAGCAUCAGAAGAGAACUUUGCUAGUCCAAAAUCUGCAACCUUUGCCUCAAAUUUGAAAUCCAAUAGUAUAUUUGCCGCCUUGAUAUCACGAUGAAUGAUCUUAGGGUGGCAAUCUUCAUGAAGAUAUGCAAGUCCUUUUGCAGAUCCCAAAGCAAUUUUGAGUCUAGUAGGCCAAUCCAUUGUAGGUCGACCCUUUCCAUGUAAGUGAAACUCCAAAGUGUUGUUUGGAACAAACUCAUAAACAAGCAGUCUCUGAGACCCAGUAAUGCAAUAUCCAACCAAUGAAACAAG
rnacentral:misc_RNA from 1 species